rnacentral:rRNA from 1 species
GACAGAGGAUGCAAGCGUUAUCCGGAAUGAUUGGCGUAAAGCGUCUGUAGGUGGCUUUUUAAGUCCGCCGUCAAAUCCCAGGGCUCAACCCUGGACAGGCGGUGGAAACUACCAAGCUGGAGUACGGGUGAGGGGCAGGAGGGAAUUUCCGGGUGGAGCGGUGAAGUGCGUAGAGAUCGGAAAGAACACCAACGGCGAAAGCACUCUGCUGGGCCGACACUGACACUGAGAGACGAAAGCUAGGGGAGCGAAUGGG